rnacentral:lncRNA from 1 species
GCGGGAGUUCCGAAAAGACUCUUCAGGUCGCCUUAACCGGAAAAAGGGCUCUGACGUGCACACAUUAAAUGCCAACAUAUCCAAGGACGGUUAUGCGCAGGAAUUGAGAGGACAACUUCGGCCAUACCCAUCUUUCUGUACUUUCUUCAUUCGUAAUUCGAACUCGAAAGUAGGGGGACUAGUGUUGGGUACAAAAUACCCACGGCCGAAGUUCUCAGCGGGAUUAGCCCUUGCGGACUCCGCCCGGACUCCUACGGGAGCCGGGCUUC